AACUUUUCAUUUGGAUGCGCCUAAAAUUUCAUUACGCACCAAACAUUUAUGUGAAAUCCUAAAAUCUUGGUUUUUGUUUCCUUCUUCCUCUAUUCCUUCAAACCAUCACGUCUCCUCCAAAUUGCUGAAAAAUACUAAUGAGUGAGUCUGAGUGUGCGAGGGGGGGAGAAAUUGCUCCGUGGUAUGGCGGCGAUGAACAAGAAAAGGGGUGUGAGUUUGGAAGGAAAGAAGAUGAUAUAUGUCCCUUACAUGGAACCCUAUGUCCCCAAAUAUCAACAAGGAGACUUUCAUUAUCUUGGAUAAAGGUUUGGUUGUUGGAACCUUCUCACGGUGAACCCCAUGUGGAAGGGGUUUGUGGAAACUUCACAUAGCAACAUUUUCAAAGAGAUAACAUUGACAGGUGACUUUGGAGUUGCAAAUGACACAAGACAAGAGUGAGGAGAUGAUUGGUUUGAGGAGAUGUUGCUGGGCGAAUGGUUAAAUAGUUGAAAUUAUUAAGUUUCCUACAAAUAUGUUAUUAGGACUGUAAUCAUCCUUUAAGUACCAAAAUCUCCAAUGUUCAUGUCAAACUUAGAUACUUCAAUAUUUGUUAUAUUUGACUCAUUUCAGUUAAUCAAAUUGAUUAUCUAGCUAGCUAGCUGCAAUGAUGAAGAUGUUUUCAAUGUUCA